rnacentral:lncRNA from 1 species
AGGAAGAGAGGCAAGGAGAGAAGUCGAAGAAGGAACAAAGCUUGGAGUGGAAAGUCUGAUGGAGAAUUCAAGUGUCAGGGUCAUCUGACCGGUGUCCUGACCCCACUGGCUCACAGCGUGAGCUCGAAAGCCAUACUAUACUGCUGAAGGAAGUCAGGGCAGGAUCCUGGAGUCAGGAGCUGAUGCAGAGACCAUGGAAGAUUGCUGCCUACUGGCUUGCUUCCAGUGGCUUGUUCAGCCUGCUUUCCUAAAGAUCCCUGGAUCACCAGCUAAGGGUGGCCACACCCACAACGACCUGGUCCCCUCCUACAUCAAUCACUAGUUAAGAAAAUGUCCUUCAGGCUUCCCCUUUCCCAUUGGAGGCAUUUUCUCAGUUGAGAUUCCCUCUUUCAGAUUACUCUAUCUUGUGUCAAGUUGACAUAGGACUAGCCAGCACAAGGGCAAAGAGUACCAUCUAGUAUCUUAGGUGGUAUCCAGCUUCCUUGAAAAUAUAACUGUACCAACAUACCUGGACAGGGGUCCUAAUAUAGGCAAGCAAGCAAGGGUCUUCAAGUGUUGGAAGGAAGAAUUCUUUGGUGUUUAUGUCUCAGUGUGAGUGUGUGUGUGUGUG